rnacentral:lncRNA from 1 species
GGAGGGCCUUGAGGGGCACUUGUUUCUCCGCGGAAGGGCAGGGCUUCUUGCACUUCCUGGAGACCAGGCUGAGACUUGCCGCCAGCACCCUGGAACCAGCUUCUUUGUGGUGGGCUCCAUCUGUCACCAGUGUGUCCUCCCAGACCCUCCCCUCCACCAACCAUUCAUUUGCAUAGGCGCCGUUGCUGUUGGGGAAGAUGAGAGAAAAGGACUUAAAGCUUCACCGUGAAGCAGAAUCCUCC